rnacentral:rRNA from 1 species
CAGCACGGGCUUCGGCCUGGUGGCGAGUGGCGAACGGGUGAGUAAUACAUCGGAACGUGCCCUGUAGUGGGGGAUAACUAGUCGAAAGAUUAGCUAAUACCGCAUACGACCUGAGGGUGAAAGCGGGGGACCGGUAACGGCCUCGCGCUACAGGAGCGGCCGAUGUCUGAUUAGCUAGUUGGUGGGGUAAAGGCCUACCAAGGCGACGAUCAGUAGCUGGUCUGAGAGGACGAUCAGCCACACUGGGACUGAGACACGGCCCAGACUCCUACGGGAGGCAGCAGUGGGGAAUUUUGGACAAUGGGGGCAACCCUGAUCCAGCAAUGCCGCGUGUGUGAAGAAGGCCUUCGGGUUGUAAAGCACUUUUGUCCGGAAAGAAAUGGCUCUGGUUAAUACCCGGGGUCGAUGACGGUACCGGAAGAAUAAGCACCGGCUAACUACGUGCCAGCAGCCGCGGUAAUACGUAGGGUGCGAGCGUUAAUCGGAAUUACUGGGCGUAAAGCGUGCGCAGGCGGUUUUGUAAGACAGGCGUGAAAUCCNCCGAGCUCAACUUGGGAAUGGCGCUUGUGACUGCAAGGCUAGAGUAUGUCAGAGGGGGGUUAGAAUUCCACGUGUAGCAGAGAAAUGCGUAGAGAUGUGGAGGAAUAACCGAUUGGCGAGGGCCGCCCCCUGGGGACGUCUCUG